ensembl:ncRNA B0212.7 ncRNA
UUUGAAAAAGUUAUGACCAGCGAGAUAAGCGUGAUUUUUUAUAAGGCAUCAAAAGGAUUUGGGCCGAACCGGGAAUCGAACCCGGGACCUCUCGCACCCGAAGCGAGAAUCAUACCUCUAGACCAUCCGGCCACUAAAACCAACUGCCGUUACUAGUCGCUAAAAAAAACUAGACACCCUGCCCCUCUCCCAGCUGACUCUCGUUUCUCUGUUCCCCCCCGCACA